rnacentral:lncRNA from 1 species
GGAAAGGUCUUCAUUCAAGACAAGACCCUUCAUCCAAGUUGCAUGAAGACAAUAUUCAACCGUGCAUGGAUAACUCAUAGCACGGUGCAUACAAGAACAAGAGUUGCAAUGAAGACAAGAGCUUCAGUCUGGACAAAAUCAUCUGUCAAGACAAAGAUUCCAGUCAAGACAAAAGUUCCAGUCAAGACAAAAUUCGCGGUCAAGACAAAUAUUCCAAUCUGGACAAAAUUCUUAGUCUAGACAAAAAUAUCAGUCUAGCGUCGGAGUCACGCAAGGCUUGAUGUCGCAAACACUGAGGCACUUCAGCGGUGCAUAAGGCUUGUCAAGCUACGAGAUACCCCGGCCUCCAGCUAUGACGCAGAAGAAUAAAAGAGGGGAGCAUCCAGCAUCCCUCGCGCACUAUAAAAGGGGGAGGACUGAGCGCGGAGAGACACACACAACAGCAGUCUACACAACACCAGUCUCCAGAGCCUCGCAAGCACCAGAGCACCAUUUCUCUCACUCUCCUCAGUAGUAGUAGUAGCCAUCUCCUGUUGUAAUAAGCCUUUGAGGCAUUUGUAUCAUCCAGUGGUGGAGGUAGGCAGAAGGUAGUCUUCCUUUCUCUUUGUAAUCCCUUCGGGGUCUCCCGAAAGGGAAAUCCGUAUGUAAAUUAUGUUGUCGAAGUGAAGUAGUUUCGGGUUUCACUUGGUUUUUAUAUUAUGAAUUUACGAAAUGAGUUCUUACGCUAGGGAUCCUAUAGGAGAAACCUCUGUCGGUAGUUCUCUGUUUAGCCGAUGUGUGGCGUUUGAAUGAGAACCUUGUGGCCGUAGAGAAGUGUUCCCUUCGGGUGGAACUGCCUGGGAAGACGGUAGGAAUUCAUCAAAUAAAUUUGUAAUAUAAACAUCAAGUGAAAGAACUUAGCUGCUUCUGAAGCAACAUAGUGAUGAAUACGGAGAGUACCGAGUAGGAUUAACACAACUGUUGCAUACCCGUAGGCUAUCUCGUUGGUUUCGCCAAUCCGUAAAAGAUCCUGCAUAUUGAUUAAGAAUUAGUUAAUUAAAUAAUUUCACAAAAUUUAGAUUACGUAAGAAGUUAAUAAGUACUUUAUAUUUUAUUUGAUAAUAUAUUUGUGUGUUGGAAAAUAAUAAUAAUAAUAAUAAUAAUAAUAAUAAUAAUAAUAAUAAUAAUAAUAAUAAUAAUAAUAAUAAUAACAACAAUAAUAAUGGUAGCAAGAAUAAUUAUGCAAGAAGCAGCCAUGCAACAUCCGUAUCAGGAAAGGUCUUCAUUCAAGACAAGACCCUUCAUCCAAGUUGCAUGAAGACAAUAUUCAACCGUGCAUGGAUAACUCAUAGCACGAUGCAUACAAGAACAAGAGUUGCAAUGAAGACAAGAGCUUCAGUCUGGACAAAAUCAUCUGUCAAGACAAAGAUUCCAGUCAAGACAAAAGUUCCAGUCUAGACAAAAUUCGCGGUCAAGACAAAUAUUCCAGUCUGGACAAAAUUCUCAGUCUAGACAAAGUUCUCAGUCUAGACAAAAAUAUCAGUCUAGCAUCGGAGUCACGCAAGGCUUGAUGUCGCAAACACUGAGGCACUUCAACGGUGCAUAAGGCGUGUCAAGCUACGAGAUACCCCGACCUCCAGCUAUGACGCAGAAGAAUAAAAGAGGGGAGCAUCCAGCAUCCCUCGCGCACUAUAAAAGGAGGAGGACUGAGCGCGGAGAGACACACACAACAACAGUCUACACAACACCAGUCUCCAGAGCAUCGCAAGCACCAGAUCACCACUUCCCUCACUCUCCUCAGUAGUAGUAGUUGGUAGUAGCCAUCUCCAGUUUUUAAUAAGCCUUUGAGGCAUUGUAUCAUCCAGUGGUGGAGGUAGGCAGAAGGUAGUCCUCCUUUUCUCUUUGUAAUCCCUUCGGGGUCUCCCGAAAGGGAAAUCCAUAUGUAAAUUAUGUUGUCAAAAUGAAGUAGUUUCUGGUUUUACUUGGUUUUUAUAUUAUGAAUUUAUGAAACGAGUUCUUACGCUAGGGAUCCUAUAGGAGAAACCUCUGCCGGUAGUUCUCUAUUUAGCCGAUGUGUGGCGUUUGAAUGAGAACCUUGUGGCCGUAGAGAAGUGUUCCCUUCGGGUGGAACUGCCUGGGAAGACGGUAGGAAUUCAUCAAAUAAAUUUGUAAUAUAAACAUCAAGUGAAAGAACUUAGCUGCUUCUAAAGCAACAUAGUGAUGAAUACGGAGAGUACCGAGUAGGAUUAACACAACUGCUGCAUACCCAUAGGCUGUCUCGUUGGUUUCGCUAACCCGUAAAAGAUC